rnacentral:rRNA from 1 species
UACAGAGACUGCAAGCGUUAUUCGGAUUCACUGGGCGUAAAGGGUGCGCAGGCGGCCGAGUGUGUGAGGCGUGAAAGCCCGGGGCUUAACCCCGGAAUUGCACCUCAAACUACACGGCUAGAGCAUUGGAGAGGGUAGCAGAAUUCAUGGUGUAGCAGUGAAAUGCGUAGAUAUCAUGAGGAAUACCAGAGGCGAAGGCGGCGUACCUGGACAAUUGCUGACGCUCAGGCACGAAAGCGUGGGGAGCAAA